CCUAAUAUAUCAUUUAGCAGGCCCUGGCUUAACUCAUCCAAACAGUCUCAAUCACAUCUGAUGAAGCUUUUAAUGGUAGCUAAUGUCAAUAAUGCAACGAUAUAUAAUUCAUGCAUCAUUCAACCACUUGGCUUUGAACCUACAAGUGAAACAAUGCACAACACUGAACAUUAAGCAACGACCGGCCUUGAUAAAUAAACAUAUCAUCAUCUAGGAAUCUUCAAACUUUAUCAAUAUUUGGUUCAUCUGUGGUUGAUGUUUCCUGACCUUGACACUAGCCAUAGAUAGUAGCUUGUGUGAAGCAACGUAGUUUGUGUCAGAGUUACUUAAAUUCUUCUCUACAAAAUAUAUAACUUCAGAUACACCUGACUGAAUGAUUAUCUUGGCACAUUCAUUGCAAGGGAACAUGGUCACGUAAAGCUUCUGCCCUGCAGCAGAAGCAUGGUUUUUGUUCAGGAUAGCAUUAACUUCAGCAUGACAAACAUAAGGAUACUUAGUCUCCAAAGGAUUCCCAGUUUUAGAUUUCUUUGCCCAAGGAAG
rnacentral:misc_RNA from 1 species